rnacentral:rRNA from 2 species
GGCUUUUUGAUUAUAAUUUAAGGUCUAACCUGCCCAAUGAUUUAUUAAAUGGCCGCAGUAUAUUGACUGUGCAAAGGUAGCAUAAUCAUUAGUUUUUUAAAUGAAAGCUUGUAUGAAAGGUUUAAUGAGAAAAAUACUGUCUCUAUCUAAAUAUAUUAGAAUUUUAUUUUUAAGUUAAAAAGCUUAAAUAUUUAUUGAAGACGAGAAGACCCUAUAGAAUUUUAUAUUUUUGUUAAAUUUAUUUAGUUUAGAAUUUUAUAAAUAUUUUUAAUAAAAGUAUUUAGUUGGGGUGAUGAAAAAAUUUAUUUAACUUUUUUUUUAUUUAAACAUGAAUUAAUGAGUAUUUGAUCCUUUAAGUAUAAAGAUAAAAAGAAAAAAUUACCUUAGGGAUAACAGCGUAAUUUUUUUUAGAGUUCUUAUCAAAAAAAAAGAUUGCGACCUCGAUGUUGGAUUAAAAUAAAUUAUUGGUGUAGAAGCUAAUAUUUUAGGUCUGUUCGACCUUUAAAUUUUUACAUGAUCUGAGUUUAAACCGGUGUGAG